rnacentral:sRNA from 1 species
AAAAAAAAACUUUCUUUUUACCAUUUUCCGUUGAGGAGUGGCAGUGUGGCUAAAUGAUGUACUGCAUAAUCAUGAUAAUUGACGUGUUAAAAGUUUGCGACCCGUAAAAGAAUGAGGUCAGAGAAGUGGUGCUGCAGAUUCGAGUGUCGUGAAAGUUACAAGAUACUGCACAUUGAUUUUAUUAAUCAGAGUUGAUGUCAGUUGCAGCUUUCAAGGGAACUUAAACACUAAUGAAGAACAACUGUCAAAGAUUCAACACUGGGCGUUUUUCUCUCAGGAAUUUUGUAAAGGAACGGAGAGCCAAUGAACAAAAUGAAACAAUAUCAAGCUGUAUGUGUUCUGAUGUGUGGAGUGAUUGUAUCCACGUUUGGGAUUGAGACACAGGAAUGUGAACUUUAUACAAACAACAGAUAUAGCGAUGUGGUUUGCUGCAAGGUUACCUGUUAUCCAGGUUUCUUUGUUGAUGUCUGCAAAGUCAAUGGAACAGCAGACAGAUGUAAGCCCUGUCCAGAGGGCACUUAUUUGGACGACAUUACAGACUCUGAAAUCCCAGUGAAGUGUAGGACUUAUGAUUGCCCUCCAGAAUCAAUACCAGCGUCUACCUUUCCACCAGAGCCUGCAUGUCGGAAAAGAUGUGUUUGCGAUGUUCAGCGACUGUAUGUAGGGUCAGAUCCUUGUGCCUGCAAGCGGGCUACAGUCACCUGUCCUCAUGGGAAAUCAUUGACAAUUUACAAUACCUGCGAACCAAUAGAACAGGAAGUAACUCCCACAACCAAUGACCCCAGUUCAACUAGUUAUUUCAUGACAACUCGAAAAGAGAAUCCAGAGUAUACUGGUAGGAUAUCGAGUGAAGAGACCACAGUGAAUCGAAGUGUCACAGUACCAUCACACGAUCUGGGUUCAAAUGAAGAUAAUGGUUUGGUGACAAUACUUGUACCAGUACUUGUGAUUCUGUUUGUAAUUGUGAUGCCCGUUGUUAUAGGAGUACUUUGCUAUAUGAAGAAAAAAGAAAGCAGACGAGAAAUGAACAGAAAUGGAGUACCAGAGAACAUCCCUCUCACGUCACUCCAUCCAACAAGAAUGGAAAACAAUGCUCAACAUAUUGUGGAAAAUGAAUCUGUGAACAGUUAUAUAAGAGAUACUGGAAUGGAUGCAAAUGAAAAUCCCCAGUUUGACCAAAAUGGAAAAACAAGUACAGAUGCUGAAAUGGAAAACACUUCUCCGAAGUCUCUCAGUACCCGUCCAACGAGAACUGAAAUCAAUAAUGCUCCACAUAGGUUUAGAAAUGGGUCUGGAAACAGUCAUAGUGGACUAUUUACUGGAUUGGAUGCAAAUAAGGAUUGCCAAUUUGGUACGUACAGUCUCUUCAAGUGCAGAUGAAGACAUGGAAAGCAGUUCUUUUAUGCCACAUAACACCCAUUCAAAGAGAACUGAAAACAAUGCUUCAAGUAUUGUUGGAAAUGGAUCUUGUAACAAUAAAAGAAUAGAUACUGGAUUAGAUGCAAAGAAAAAUUACCACUGUGAACCUCUCAGCUAUGACCUGGAGUCUGUAGAGCCAUUGAGCAAACCAGAAGAAAUGCCCACUCCAUUUGUAUCAACUCAUUAAUGCAAGGCAUGGGAAAGGAAAUAGUGAACCAUUGGUACACCUGUUUAUUUAUUAGGAAUUCAACUUGUAUUUUUUACAUGUUCAGAUAUUAUGCAAUUAUGAAAUAAUUGCAGCAUCCAUAGUAAUAGAUACAUUGGCUUUAAUAUAAGUAAUGCUAUAUUUGGUGAAUUUAGCAAAGUUGUUAGGUUAUUUAUGCAAUUUUCCACUCAAAAUUUUACAGUUUUAGAUUUUUGAAACAAAACAAAAACAAGAGAAAAGCUAUCAAUGUGACAGCAAAUCAGGUUUUCUUUUGUGUGAACAGUAUCCAUAAUCCAUCUGUCAAUCCUGAAUUGAUAAAAACUACCUAUCCAGAGAAAUGAAGUACCCUAUAUGCAAUAUUUUAAAUUUUGUUUUAUAUAAUUUAUCAAAAAUCAAAAUCCAAGUAAUAUGCACUUCUCAGGUAUAUAUGUCACCGAGGGGAAAGGGCACUAUAGAAUAAGGGGAACUAACUCUUAUAGGCCCAACCCAAGAGACAGGGGGUCAGCCUAUAGUUAAUAGGCUUAAAUUGACCUCUAAAUCGAAUAUGCAUCGAAUAUGACAUAUGCACAUGUCAUUAAACCAAGUUUAUGGUGACUUUUUUUUAAAUGUGUCUGUUGCGGCCAAAUUUUGUAAGGAAAAAUGAUUAAAGCUAAAACUUGACAGAAUAAUUGCCUGAAAUUCCAUCCUCAAAAAAUGGAUUGCUUGUCUUUUCAGGACCAACUGACUAAAAAGCUUUGAAAAAAAAUUAAUAUAUUCAUGCCAUUUUAAAUAAAUAAUAAUUAAAACACUGAGUCAGGUGAGGGCUACAAUCAUUAUUCAUAUUGUGUCCAGACCUGUUAAUGUAUUGUGACUUUGACUCGAAUUUUUGGGCAUUUUCAAGGUUAUACAGUGUACCUUUUAUCUUUUCUUGCUCAUGACCUAUGGAUUUUUCAUGUAAUUCUUUCCCAAGGAAUAAAUGAGUUACAUUUGAGUAGAUAUUCUGUCUGGGCCCAUUACCAUAACUUUGUCAUUUAUGUAUACUACACAAGUUGCCACUUAAACUUAAAAAGGUGUGUUCAAAAUUUUAAUGUUUUUAAUGAUAUACAUUGCUAGUAGCUAGCUUACUAUUUUUUUUUAAAUGUCAUGUGUGCUUUGUGUAGAAUGCUUUUACUACAUUUAUAUGUAAAUAUUUUCUACAAUUUUCACAUUAUUUCUAUUCUUAUUUUUGUUCAUAAUUUUACUUAAAUGCCUUAAUUUUAACAUACAUAUACAUGUCAAUGAAAACCAUGUAAUCUAGUAAAGUGUUUUUAAAAAAGUGUAUUUUUUCUUUCAAUUGUCCAUUGGUGCUAUCAUUGACACAAAAAAGGUUAAAUGCAUGUGUGAUUUUUAUUAAUGGAGAGAGAAACUUCCAAUCUUUUUAUUAAUCAAUCAUUAAUCAAUGACCAAGCUACAUGUUACUUGUACACCAUUGAACAGGUUUGAUGAAACAAGCAAGCGCAUAGGUCAGUGAGAAAAAUUUGAGUUUAAAUAUGCAUGUACAUGAUUUUUGGAAAUCUCUCUCUCUCUCUCUCUCUCUCUCUCUCUCUCUCUGAGGCAAUAUGUUGAAGUGAUAUUCAAAGGUUAGGGUAUGUGAGUUUUUGUGCCAUAUUAAUUAUAACCGGUGCAAUAUAAAUUUAUAUAUUUUAAAAAGCAUUUUGCGAAUUAAAAGUAGAAUUUAUUUAAUGUUUGUUGUCAUCUUUCACAUUAUAUAUAUUAUUUUGUUAUCAAUCAAUUCAUUAUAUGAUUAUUUGAUAACAAAUGUAAAAAGGGG